CAGAAAGUAGUUUAAGUUAGAACGCUGGCUUUGGGUGUCGGUGGUGGAGUUAGAUACUUUCUUUCUGA
rnacentral:tRNA from 1 species